GCCUAGGAAUCUGCCUGGUAGUGGGGGAUAACGUCCGGAAACGGACGCUAAUACCGCAUACGUCCUACGGGAGAAAGCAGGGGACCUUCGGGCCUUGCGCUAUCAGAUGAGCCUAGGUCGGAUUAUCUAGUUGGUGGGGUAAUGGCUCACCAAGGCGACGAUCCGUAACUGGUCUGAGAGGAUGAUCAGUCACACUGGAACUGAGACACGGUCCAGACUCCUACGGGAGGCAGCAGUGGGGAAUAUUGGACAAUGGGCGAAAGCCUGAUCCAGCCAUGCCGCGUGUGUGAAGAAGGUCUUCGGAUUGUAAAGCACUUUAAGUUGGGAGGAAGGGCAGUAAAUUAAUACUUUGCUGUUUUGACGUUACCGACAGAAUAAGCACCGGCUAACUCUGUGCCAGCAGCCGCGGUAAUACAGAGGGUGCAAGCGUUAAUCGGAAUUACUGGGCGUAAAAGCGCGCGUAGGUGGUUCGUUAAAUUGGGAUGUGAAAUCCCCGGGCUCAACCUGGGAACUGCAUUCAAAACUGA
rnacentral:rRNA from 1 species